AAGUUUGUAAGCCAAGAGAUGAGCAAAGCUGAAGCACUUCUAAAGGUCAUUCUGUCUCCAGUCGAUUCUGUGGCGGAUACAUAUCGUGCAUUGUUACCAGAAGGAACAACAAUGGAGUUUUAGCGUGUUCUGGAGCUCAAGGGGCUCAAGAAGGCUGAUCAGCAAACUAUAUUGGAUGACUUCAACAAACUUGGACCUGGGAUCACGCAACCUCCUGUAGCGCCACCCAUUGUUCCUGCUGCCCCACUUCCCAUAAUAGCUCCUGCAAUGUCCAACAUUGCUCCAGUCGGCUUGAUUGCUUCCGGGGAGGAUGUGCUCACAAGAGCUGCUGCCCUCGGGCGAGGUGCCGCCUCCACAGGUUUCAAGAGGUUUCUUGCUCUCACGGAAGCAGCUAAGGAUAGGAAGGAUGGACCUUUUCGGAAGCUUUUCAAUGCUUGAUCAUAUGAAUCCUCCUCAUCUUUGUGAUUUCUCAUUUUUGAAUAUGAUUCCAUUUUUUUGGU